UUUCUUGUUCCUGCGAGAUGAAGGGUCAAAUCGGCAUAUUCCUUGUUAUAUUUCUUAUGGACAUGGUACAUCACAAUAAAGCUGUACCUAAGCGAUGUACACAAACAGUAAGUGUAAUGGAAAGCAAGCUGUUGACAAAAAUGACUGCAAAAGUCAUCAACUACAAGCCCUCUUGCUCUGGUUGGACAAGAUUCUUGUUUCCUAGCAGAUGUAGCACAAAAUACAGAAUUGAAUAUAGCACUGAAACUUAUACUACUUAUCAAACUGCUUACCAAACUAAGAUGAUAUGUUGUCCAGGGACUAAGGAAAAGAAUGGUGAAUG